GGGGCUAUAGCUCAGCUGGUAGAGUGCUUGCAUGGCAUGCAAGAGGUCAGCGGUUCAAUUCCGCUUAGCUCCA
rnacentral:tRNA from 1 species